AAAAUCCGUCGACUUUAGAAAUCGUGAGGGUUCAAGUCCCUC
rnacentral:tRNA from 1 species